CCUACGGGUGGCUGCAGUGGGGAAUAUUGGACAAUGGGCGAAAGCCUGAUCCAGCCAUGCCGCGUGUGUGAAGAAGGCCUUCGGGUUGUAAAGCACUUUCAGUGGGGAAGAAAGCCUUGGGGCUAAUACCCUCGAGGAAGGACAUCACCCACAGAAGAAGCACCGGCUAACUCCGUGCCAGCAGCCGCGGUAAUACGGAGGGUGCGAGCGUUAAUCGGAAUUACUGGGCGUAAAGCGCGCGUAGGCGGUCUGAUAAGCCGGUUGUGAAAGCCCCGGGCUCAACCUGGGAACGGCAUCCGGAACUGUCAGGCUAGAGUGCAGGAGAGGAAGGUAGAAUUCCCGGUGUAGCGGUGAAAUGCGUAGAGAUCGGGAGGAAUACCAGUGGCGAAGGCGGCCUUCUGGACUGACACUGACGCUGAGGUGCGAAAGCGUGGGUAGCAAACAGGAUUAGAUACCCCUGUAGUC
rnacentral:rRNA from 1 species